rnacentral:rRNA from 1 species
AUUGAACGCUGGCGGCAGGCUUAACACAUGCAAGUCGAGCGGGGGAAGGUAGCUUGCUACCGGACCUAGCGGCGGACGGGUGAGUAAUGCUUAGGAAUCUGCCUAUUAGUGGGGGACAACAUCUCGAAAGGGAUGCUAAUACCGCAUACGUCCUACGGGAGAAAGCAGGGGAUCUUCGGACCUUGCGCUAAUAGAUGAGCCUAAGUCGGAUUAGCUAGUUGGUGGGGUAAAGGCCUACCAAGGCGACGAUCUGUAGCGGGUCUGAGAGGAUGAUCCGCCACACUGGGACUGAGAAGCGGCCCAGACUCCUACGGGAGGCAGCAGGUGGGAAUAUUGGACAAUGGGGGGAACCCUGAUCCAGCCAUGCCGCGUGUGUGAAGAAGGCCUUAUGGUUGUAAAGCACUGUAAGCGAGGAGGAGGCUACUUUAGUUAAUACCUAGAGAUAGUGGACGUUACUCGCAGAAUAAGCACCGGCUAACUCGGUGCCAGCCGCCGCCGUAA